rnacentral:lncRNA from 1 species
CUGCCUCCCAGAAGGAUGCUGAGUAGCCAUGUCAACUCUCUCAACCAACAACAGUCAAUGUAGCUCAAAGUGCAGGGUGGAUGUGAGAUGAGACAUUUGAGAGAGAGUGAGCAAACCCUGCUGGAAUAAAGAUAACCUGGCCUCAUAUUAACAUCAAAUGUCUAGAAUUCCAAAAACAGAAGAUCACACAAACUAUGCUAACUCCGAGUGGAAUUUCAAGACAUUAAUGUAAGAGAGGGUGACCAAACCAUGCUGGAGUAAAGAUAACCUGUCCAGUAUUAUCCCAACGGACUGCUUGACAAAUCAUGAUUUGCCAAACUUAAUUCAGAGUUUUGCUCCUGUUGACCAGGCUAGAGUACAAU